rnacentral:rRNA from 1 species
GUCGAACGAUGACGUCACUGCUUGCAGUGAUUGAUUAGUGGCGAACGGGUGAGUAACACGUGAGGAACUUGCCCAUGAGCGGGGGACAACAUUCGGAAACGGAUGCUAAUACCCCAUAGGUGGAUUGGUCGCAUGACUAAUUCAUUAAAGGUGGCUCUGCUACCACUCAUGGAUAGCCUCGCGGCGUAUUAGCUAGUUGGUAAGGUAAUGGCUUACCAAGGCAGUGAUACGUAGCCGACUUGAGAGGGUGAUCGGCCACACUGGGACUGAGACACGGCCCAGACUCCUACGGGAGGCAGCAGUAGGGAAUCUUCCACAAUGGGUGCAAACCUGAUGGAGCAAUGCCGCGUGAGUGAAGAAGGUCUUCGGAUCGUAAAGCUCUGUUGUUAGAGAAGAACACGUGCUAGGUAACUACUAGCGCCUUGACGGUAUCUAACCAGAAAGUCACGGCUAACUACGCGCCAGCAGCCGCGGUAAUACGUAGGUGACAAGCGUUGUCCGGAUUUAUUGGGCGUAAAGGGAGCGCAGGCGGUCUGUUUAGUCUAAUGUGAAAGCCCACGGCUUAACCGUGGAGGGUCAUUGGAAACUGGAAAACCUGAGUGCAGAAGAGGAAAGUGGAAUUCCAUGUGUAGCGGUGAAAUGCGCAGAGAUAUGGAGGAACACCAGUGGCGAAGGCGACUUUCUGGUCUGUAACUGACGCUGAUGUGCGAAAGCGUGGGGAUC